GAGAUGUUCUUGUAGUGUAAUUGAGUUUAUUCAUUUGGGGUGUAGUAGUUGAGUUAGAGCAUCCAAAUUGGAGUUUGGAUGUGAAAUUAAUUAGGUGAAUGUGAUUGAGAGAUUGCCAUAUCUAAUCUCAAUCACAUGUGAGGCCUAACCACCACCUUAAUUUGGUUCUAUGGUAGUUGAGAUAUGGUGUCACCCAAUUACGUAUCUUUCUUUUCUUUCAAUUACUAAUUUUUUAAUCCUUUAGGUUAUAAAGCACUUACCAAGUGUCAUUCAUUUAAAUCAUUUACUCUAUGCUAUUGACAUCUUUCAUUUCAAUGAAAAUAAUUUAUUGUUUCAUAGUCUCCUUCUCCAUUUCUCCAUCCCUUCUUGUCUCUUUCUUCUAUAACAUGAUUCCUUCUCUUACACGCUACCUACCAAAUCAAUAUUAAUAUUAGAAUUGAAAUAUCAAUUUAAAACCUCGAAUUAAUAAUUAUUAUUGUUAAUUUAGUUGAAAAUCUAAAUUGAUAUAUUUAUGUAAUUUCAAUGAUUAAUUUGAUACACGUAUAAAAAUUAAGAAGUAAAAGGUAAGUGGAUGUUUUUUUCUCAGUCUCAAUCUAAUUCUUAAUUAAAUUCUAAUUUAGUCACGAAAGUAGUUUAUUUAAAAAUAAACAAUUUAAUUAGGUAAUGUUUAGAUUUCACUUUAUCUUUUAUAAAAAAUUUCUAUAUAGUUAUUGAUUGAAAAUUUGUCAUUUCACAACUUAAAAUAAAUUUUAAAUUUUCUUUCUAUUUGUUUGUAACGAAAGAAGUAAAUUUCAACCUCAUUUUCUGUUCAUAUAUUGGUCACAAUUUUUCACUACGCACCAUUGUGAAAAUACCAAAUUAACCAUUCUUUCAAAUACUUCGAUAGAUUCGUUUGGAAUUAAUUAAGAAAAAUAUUUGUAAUAUUUGGUAAGAAACUUAUUUUUUAAAAACUACUUUGAGUGAAUUUCAAAUAUUUUAAUUUUUUAAAAUAAAGCUUCUAUACUGAACACAGAAAAAGCUUUAAAAAAAAAUUACUGAAGUUAAGUAUUUGUGUUUAUUUAUAACAAAGUUUUAUUUUCCUUGAAUACUAUAAAUAUAGUAAAAUAAUUUGCUAACCUAAUUAUCUAUCUUAUCUUAUUAUUAUAUUUAAGAGUUUUAUAGUAUAAUUUUAGUAUAAAGUAUAUUUGAUUACUUAAACUAUAAAAAAGGAAAGAGAUAGUGAUUGAAGGAGAUGGAUGAUACAAUUUCAGAGGUUUCUUAGUAUUAUAUGAACUCUCUAUAGUUUUAAAUUUAUUACCUUUCACAUUUCAGAAUGGCUUCUACUGGCGACGCACAAUCUCCUAAUUCCUCACUUCCCACUCUACCAUGGAAGCGCAAGCUUGCCGAUCUAUUCACUUCCUUCCUUUUCCGACAAGCAUUCCGAUCAGAUUUUACCGUCAACCGCCG
rnacentral:lncRNA from 1 species